GGUUAAGCGACUAAGCGUACACGGUGGAUGCCCUGGCAGUCAGAGGCGAUGAUGGACGUGCUAAUCCGCGAAUAGCGUCGGUAAGG
rnacentral:rRNA from 1 species